AAGAAUGAGGAAAACGAUGAGGAAUUGGAAGUUCCGGUGAUGAGAAAAACUCAGGUGAAGAAGACAAGUUGAAAAAAUUUAACAUUUCGUAUUUCCUUUGAUGAUGAUGACAU
rfam:Arabidopsis lyrata subsp. lyrata unplaced genomic scaffold ARALYscaffold_4, whole genome shotgun sequence.